AAAUGGCGAUGAAGCAAGAGGUGGCCUGACUUUAGGGAGAUUCUUGCGGAGUAUGUCUUGGUCUUGAACCAGGCGGCGG
rfam:Clostridium cellulovorans 743B, complete genome.